AUCAACAGCACCUGCUUUUAACACACAUUGGACAUACCUGGGUGGUUUCCUUGAAGUCAGGUGACACGCUGAGCUGUUCCAGCACCAAGUUUCUGGGGAGAAAGACCAUAAGAGGUGAUCAAUACUUCCUACAAGCCAACUUUCAAGUAAUCCCAUUGCAAAAUGGCUCUGCGGUCACUCCAUCAUGCAGAGGCCUAAACUAGGCAAAUGGAAUGUUGCAGAAAGUCCCCCCAGAGCCCAGCUGGCCCCCAGAUGCUGUAGUCUUCUUUUGUUGGGUUGCGCUGUCAUGGCUGCCAGCUCUCUGGAGUGAUGCUCCUUGUAGAUGCUACCAAUCUAAUACUGCAAGUCAUGCUGCGCUGCAGGGCCUCAUCCAUCUCGUCUAAGGUACUUUUGCAAGUAUUCUUCUAGAUUAAAUUCCUGGCAGUAAAGUAACUGGAUUAGAAUUUCUGUAUAUUCAGAAUUUGGAUUGAUACUACCAAAGCGCCCUUAUAAACAGUCAGACCAAUACAUUCUCAUCUACAGUGGAUGAAUGCACCUCUUUGAUGUUAUCAAGUAUUUUCAUUUUUGCCAACACGAUAGGUAACAUCCAUUCUCCCAUAGUUGCUUGGGUUUGUCUUUAACUAUCAACAUCAUUGAGCACCAUUUCAUGCAUUUGUUCCCUGUUUGUAUUUUUUACUUCUGAGUGUGAAUUGCCUAUCCAUAUCCUUUGUCCACUUUUCCACUGGUAUAUCUUUCUCCACCUGAAUUAUAUAGACCCCUUUUCAAUCGAGGAAAUGAGCCCUGAAGGCAAAUAUUUCCUCCAGUUUACCCUUUGUCUUUUGUCUUUGUUUACAGUUUUUCAGUCCAUCCUAAGUGUUUACAUGUUUUUAAAUUUCUCAACACCCAGGAAAUUUGUUGAGAGCUGGACUACAUCUCAAGAUCCCUCCAAGUCUAAAGAAGAUGCCACAAAUACCAUCAACUACAAAAUGAAAGGAAUAUGCGUCCAGUGGUGGAUUUUUGCAGACUUUAGCAGGCUCUACCCUUCCACCAUGCUUAUCCUUCAGGAAUGUGCUGGACAACUCUAUCAAUGUUUGGGGUAAAGGAACAUGAUUCAUGAAAAGGAUGAAUCUCCCUUAGAAGGCUUGGUGAGUUCAAGGAUGCUCUAAGACUUCUUCAAGGGGAGGAAAAGAAAGUAAGAGCUUUGAAUGAAGAUAUUAAACAAUUUGGAGGCAGCUUUAAAGUAUUUAUGACAUAGUUUUAAACUUUUUGGAAAAUAUGGAUCCUCUUAUCUAUAAGCUUUCUCCUCUCUAAAACUUAAACUAUUAAGGUGAAAAGUAAAAGUGGUAUCCGACUCUUUGUGACUCCACAGACUAUACAGUCCAUGGAACUCUCUAGGCCAGGAUACUGGAGUGAGUAGCCUUUCUCUUCUCCAGGGGAUCUUCUCAACCCAGGAAUCAAACCGAGGUCUUCUGUGUUGCAGACAGAUUCUUUACCAACUGAGCUAUCAGGGAAGCUUAGGUAAAAAACUCAAUCAUCUAAAUUAGAGAGAUCCCCAAAACCUUAUGUGCAUAUGAAUCACUUGGGGAUCUUGUUUAAAUGCAAAUUAUGUGAUUCUGUGGGGGCAGGGGGACAGUGGUUUGGGCAGGACUGAGAUUCUGCAUUUUUAACAAGCUGCUUGUUCCCAGACCUCUCAGUAGCUGGGCUCUAAAAUAUAACUUUUGUGAACACAUUCCCCUUAUUCGCUGCAGUAGUCUAUGUACAUAAACACAUGCUUUAUAUAUAUCUUUAUAUUCCUGCUUUCUAAAACAUUAAUUGAGAAAUAGGCCAUUGUUACAGAAACCACAAUGCACUUCAUGAAAAAACAUUGGGCACAAAGGCAAAACAGUGACAAAUUGAUACUUUCUUGCUUGGUCACGCCUGAUUUAAGGAAACGAACCCCAAAUAGGCUAUGUGAAUUGGAAAUUGACUUCAACCACAUUUAAAUUGUUGUCUUUUAAAAUAUUAGCAGUUGAGUGUGUAAACCAAUAUUUAUUUUCUAAUCAAAGGUUUGUGGCAAAUGGUUUAUAAAUGAAAGAAAUGAGGGAAGAAUGCUUUGAAAUGUUUCUCAUAAUAGAAAUGGAAAUAGGAUAUUUUAUUUCUUUAAAUGGCAGGCACAGGCUUCAGCUAAAAUUCAUCCUGCUCUGGAAAGAGGAAAUUAUAUGAAAAACUGAUCAUAGUAUAAAAGCCCAGACCAGCACCUCUCUGCCAACGAUCAUAAUAAAUAUCUUUCAGCGGAAAAAAAGUUGAAGAUC
rnacentral:lncRNA from 1 species